rnacentral:rRNA from 1 species
GACGAACGCUGGCGGCGUGCUUAACACAUGCAAGUCGAACGAUGACGACCGAGCUUGCUCGGUCUGAUUAGUGGCGAACGGGUGAGUAACACGUGAGCAACCUGCCCUUCACUCUGGGAUAACCUCGGGAAUUCGGGGCUAAUACCGGAUAUGAGCUCCUGUCGCAUGGCGGGUGUUGGAAAGUUUUUCGGUGAAGGAUGGGCUCGCGGCCUAUCAGUUUGUUGGUGAGGUAGUGGCUCACCAAGGCGAUGACGGGUAGCCGGCCUGAGAGGGCGACCGGCCACACUGGGACUGAGACACGGCCCAGACUCCUACGGGAGGCAGCAGUGGGGAAUAUUGCACAAUGGGCGAAAGCCUGAUGCAGCGACGCCGCGUGAGGGAUGACGGCCUUCGGGUUGUAAACCUCUUUCAGCAGGGAAGAAGCGAAAGUGACGGUACCUGCAGAAGAAGCGCCGGCUAACUACGUG